rnacentral:rRNA from 1 species
AAACAUGGUUUUUAGAAAUAAUUAAAAAUCCAACCUGCUCAAUGCCUAUGUAAAUAGCCGCGGUAUUAUGACCGUGCAAAGGUAGCAUAAUAACUUGUCUUUUAAUUUGGGACUAGAAUGAAAGGUUAGACUAUGUAAUUUUGUCUUAUAAUAAUAUUUUGAAUUUCACAUUUUAGUAAAAAGGCUAAAAUUUCCUUUAAAGACGAGAAGACCCUAUCAAGCUUUACAAUUUUAAUUUAUCAUCAAUUUAAAUAAAAGAUUGUUUUGCUGGGGCAGCAAGUGAAAAUUUUUUGCUUAUAUAUUAUGAAAUAUAAUUCUUGAAAAAUCAAAUAAAAUUUAAAUAAAAAUAAGUUACUGUAGGGAUAACAGCAUAAUUUUUUUAAAGAGUCCUUAUCAGCAAAAAAGUUUGUGACCUCGAUGUUGGAUUAAAAUUCCUAUUUCGUGCAAUAAUGAAGUAAGGGAGUCUGUUCGACUCUUAAAAUUUUCCAUGAUCUGA